UGGGGAAUAUUGGACAAUGGGGGCAACCCUGAUCCAGCAAUGCCGCGUGUGUGAAGAAGGCCUUCGGGUUGUAAAGCACUUUAGGUGGGGAAGAAGGUGUGUAGUUUAAGAGAUGACACAUUUGACGGUACCCACAGAAUAAGCACCGGCUAACUCUGUGCCAGCAGCCGCGGUAAUACAGAGGGUGCAAGCGUUAAUCGGAUUUACUGGGCGUAAAGGGCGCGUAGGUGGUUAUGUAAGUGAGAGGUGAAAUCCCCGGGCUUAACCUGGGAACUGCCUCUUAUACUGUAUAGCUGGAGUGCGAGAGAGGGUAGUGGAAUUUCCGGUGUAGCGGUGAAAUGCGUAGAUAUCGGAAGGAACACCAGUGGCGAAGGCGGCUACCUGGCUUGACACUGACACUGAGGCGCGAAAGCGUGGGGAGCAAACAG
rnacentral:rRNA from 1 species